GACCUCGUAGCUCAGCUGGUAGAGCGCAUGACUGUUAAUCAUGAUGUCGCAGGUUCGAGUCCUGCCGAGGUCG
rnacentral:tRNA from 1 species